rnacentral:rRNA from 1 species
ACGCUCGACACCUACGGGAGGAAGCAGUGAGGGAUAUUGGUCAAUGGGGGAAACCCUGAACCAGCAACGCCGCGUGAGGGAUGACGGCCUGGUGUACUCUNUCUCUNUGUAGAUAAUAGACGGUAGGCAGAGGAGGAAGGACGUCCGGUCGUACUACGUGCAGUAGCGCGGUAGUCUGAGCGGGCGUGGCGACGGACGC